GACGAACGCUGGCGGCGUGCUUAACACAUGCAAGUCGAACGAAGUGGCGGACGGGUGAGUAACGCGUAAUAAACCUGCCCUUCAGAGGGGGACAACAGUUGGAAACGACUGCUAAUACCGCAUACUGAAGGAGGGGAUUGCGUCUGAUUAGCUAGUUGGCGGGGUAACGGCCCACCAAGGCGAGGAUAAGUAGCCGGUCUGAGAGGAUGAACGGCCCCAUUGGGACGUAUACACGGCCCAGACUCCUACGGGAGGCAGCCGUGGGGAAUUUUCCGCAAUUGACGAAAGUCUGACUGAGCAACUCCGCGUGAGUGAUGACGGCCUUCGGGUUGUAAAGCUCCUUUAAUCGGGACGCGGUACCGGAAUAGAAAGCCACGGCUAACUACGUGCCAGCAGCCGCGGUAAUUC
rnacentral:rRNA from 1 species